AUGGCGGCCGCCUCGAGAAGUCUUCUCGCACGCCUCCGCCACCUCUCCCUCGCCGGGCCCCGCCUCCCCCCUUGCCGCCUCUUCUCCGCGGAGCCUCUCGUCUCCCAUCCCGACGACGACGAUGCCGGCGCCGGCGGCGAGGGCGGAGGCCGGAUCAUAGAGGCGCGUCCUGCUGUCAUGGGCCCGGAUUCCCGGCGGACCGGCGUGAUCGGCGUGAAGUGCGGCAUGUCGGCGAUGUGGGACAAGUGGGGGGCCAAGGUUCCCAUCACCGUCCUCUGGGUCGACGACAAUGUCGUCUGCCAGGUCAAGACCGCCGAGAAGGAGGGGUUCUACGCGCUGCAGCUCGGAGCAGGCCAAAAGAAGGAAAAGCAUCUAACAAAGCCUGAAGUGGGCCACUUUAGAUCACAAGGAGUCCCUCUUAAGAGAAAAUUAAAGGAGUUUCCUGUUACUGAGGAUGCACUUCUUCCUGUUGGAACAACCAUCUCGGUUCGUCAUUUUGUACCUGGGCAAUUUGUGGAUGUCAUUGGAAUCACAAAGGGAAAAGGUUUUGCGGGUGGCAUGAAAAGACAUGGUUUUAGUGGGAUGCCUGCAUCACAUGGUGCUUCUUUAUCACAUCGCAGCAUCGGUUCUACAGGUCAAAGGGAUGCUCCUGGCAGGGUUUUCAAAAACAGGAAAAUGCCUGGGCGCAUGGGUGGUGUUCAACGCACGGUGAAAAAUGUAUGGGUUUACCAAAUUGACCCUGCCAGGAACUUACUGUAUCUGAAAGGCCAGGUUCCUGGUCCUCAAGGCAGCUUUCUUUUCGUCAAGGACUCUAUUUACAAGAAACCCGACAGAGCUUUCCUGCCAUUCCCUACGUACUUCUCACAAGAAGGCGAGUUGGAAGACAUGGAGCCGCUCAUUGCUGAUCUUGGUGACGUCGACCCGUUCAUGGCAGCAGAUUAA
rnacentral:rRNA from 1 species